GCGCCGGUAGCUCAGCUUGGAUAGAGCGGCAGCCUCCUAAGUUGCAGGUCGGGGGUUCGAAUCCUCCCCGGCGCG
rnacentral:tRNA from 1 species